rnacentral:rRNA from 1 species
GCUCCUAGUACGAGAGGACCGGAGUGAACGCACCGCUGGUGUCCGGGUUGUCACGCCAGUGGCACUGCCCGGUAGCUAAGUGCGGAAAAGAUAAGUGCUGAAAGCAUCUAAGCACGAAACUUGCCCCGAGAUGAGUUCUCCCUGAGCCUUUAAGGCUCCUGAAGGGACGUUGAAGACGACGACGUUGAUAGGCCGGGUGUGUAAGCGCAGCGAUGCGUUGAGCUUACCGGUACUAAUGACCCGUGAGGCUUAACCUUA